ACAUGCAAGUCGAACGGGCACCUUCGGGUGUCAGUGGCAGACGGGUGAGUAACACGUGGGAACGUACCCUUCGGUUCGGAAUAACUCAGGGAAACUUGAGCUAAUACCGGAUACGCCCUUUUGGGGAAAGGUUUACUGCCGAAGGAUCGGCCCGCGUCUGAUUAGCUUGUUGGUGGGGUAACGGCCUACCAAGGCGACGAUCAGUAGCUGGUCUGAGAGGAUGAUCAGCCACACUGGGACUGAGACACGGCCCAGACUCCUACGGGAGGCAGCAGUGGGGAAUAUUGGACAAUGGGCGCAAGCCUGAUCCAGCCAUGCCGCGUGAGUGAUGAAGGCCUUAGGGUUGUAAAGCUCUUUUGUCCGGGACGAUAAUGACGGUACCGGAAGAAUAAGCCCCGGCUAACUUCGUGCCAGCAGCCGCGGUAAUACGAAGGGGGCUAGCGUUGCUCGGAAUCACUGGGCGUAAAGGGCGCGUAGGCGGCCGAUUAAGUCAGGGGUGAAAGCCUGUGGCUCAACCACAGAAUUGCCUUCGAUACUGGUUGGCUUGAGACCGGAAGAGGACAGCGGAACUGCGAGUGUAGAGGUGAAAUUCGUAGAUAUUCGCAAGAACACCAGUGGCGAAGGCGGCUGUCUGGUCCGGUUCUGACGCUGAGGCGCGAAAGCGUGGGGAGCAAACAGGAUAAGAUACCCUGGUAGUCCACGCCGUAAACAAUGAAUGCCACCCGUUGGCCUGCUUGC
rnacentral:rRNA from 1 species